UACGUAGGGUGCGAGCGUUAAUCGGAAUUACUGGGCGUAAAGCGUACGCAGGCGGCUGGGUAAGACAGGUGUGAAAUCCCCGGGCUUAACCUGGGAACUGCAUUUGUGACUGCCCGGCUAGAGUCCGUUAGAGGGGGGUGGAAUUCCACGUGUAGCAGUGAAAUGCGUAGAGAUGUGGAGGAACACCGAUGGCGAAGGCAGCCCCCUGGGACAGGACUGACGCUCAUGUACGAAAGCGUGGGGAGCAAACAGG
rnacentral:rRNA from 1 species